UACCUGCAGCUCGAGUGGUAACCGCUAUUAUUGGGCCUAAAGCGUCCGUAGCCGGUUUGGUAAAUAUCUGGGUAAAUCGUGAGGCUUAACUUCACGAAUUUCGGAUAGACUGCCAGACUUGGGAUCGGGGGAGGUCAGAGGUACUCCAGGGGUAGCGGUGAAAUGUUGUAAUCCUUGGAGGACCACCGGUAGCGAAGGCGUCUGACUAGAACGAGUCCGACGGUGAGGGACGAAGCCCUGGGGGCGCAAACCGGAUUAGAUACCCGGGUAGUCCAGGGUGUAAACGAUGUGGGCUUUGUAUUGGAGGUCCCACGUGGGCGUCCAGUGCAGAAGAGAAGUUGUUAAGCCCACCGCCUGGGAAGUACGGUCGCAAGGCUAGAAACUUAAAGGAAUUGGCGGGGGAGCACAGCAACGGGAGGAGCGUGCGGUUU
rnacentral:rRNA from 1 species